rnacentral:lncRNA from 1 species
AUAAUUUAAAGAAAAUAUAUAUUAAUUAAGGGAAAUAACUUUUGGUACAUAAAUAAUGAAAGUAUAUGUAUUGUAAUAGUUUAUGUAAUAUGUCGAUAGAACAUUUUAAAUAUAUAUAUUUUUUUUUUUAAAUUGUUGAAAGUGGUUUAAAUGUACUGUUGAUUCAAUUUACUUUCUCUUUUUUCUAUCACUUUUAUUAAUUUUAAAUUAUAAUAUAUAGAAAUAUUUUAUUCUUAUCGCAGUUUUACCCAUAAUUUUGUUUUAGUCGUUAGACGCAAUUUUUAAACUAGGUGUAUUUAACAUUCUUACAUUUCUUUAAAAUCUAAUUUUUAUUAGUCCGUUUAAUUUAUCAG